rnacentral:ribozyme from 1 species
UUAACUUAAACAAUACGGACUAUGUGAAUCUGUUUGUAGAAAAUAGCAGCGAAAUGGAUGUUUACUUGAACGAGUUGAACAUCUAUGCUAAUACAACUAAGAUUGUACCAAAGUACAAUGAUGAGGAGGAACCAGAGGAUGUGAAACCAUGGGGAAUGGCCAAUCAUUUCACUUUUUCACAUCAGCAUGGCCAGCUUCCUGUCACUCUGGCUCCUGGUGACCAAUAUGCAUUCGUUGUGAAAGCAAAGCCAAAUUUCAAAGAAAUCACGAGUGAUGGCUAUCGAAUCCCUCCAGCUUUGAUGG